rfam:Hordeum vulgare subsp. vulgare, WGS project CAJW01000000 data, contig: morex_contig_79801
CAAGUACUCCCUCCGUUCGAAAAUCCUUGUCCUACUUUUAUUUAAAAAUAGAUGUAUCUAAAUAUUAACACAUGACUAGAUAUGUUCAUAUUUAGACAAAUCAAAGACAAGAAUUUUGGAACGGAGGAAGUAUAUA